UACGUAGGGGGCAAGCGUUGUCCGGAUUCAUUGGGCGUAAAGAGCUCGUAGGCGGCUUGGCAAGUCGGGUGUGAAACCUCCAGGCUCAACCUGGAGACGCCACCCGAUACUGCUAUGGCUAGAGUCCGGUAGGGGACCACGGAAUUCCUGGUGUAGCGGUGAAAUGCGCAGAUAUCAGGAGGAACACCGGUGGCGAAGGCGGUGGUCUGGGCCGGCACUGACGCUGAGGAGCGAAAGCGUGGGGAGCGAACAGG
rnacentral:rRNA from 1 species